rnacentral:lncRNA from 1 species
AAUACAUCUUUUUCUAGUAAAAAUUAUACAAAUCUAUGGUUUUUACUCUUCCCAUAACCAAUAAAUCCUUGAGAUGGUUUCAUACAUGUUAAAUACAAUUUGUCUUCUUACCACCCCUCCCAGGAGUUCUACCAGCAAAACCUCAGAUAUAUUGCGCAGAACAGGAGCGGAACAUAAGGAAACAUCACUUCGCAACAUCAAAAGGAAUUCAGGCUCACCUGGUCACAGUCUGGCCAUCACAUUUUUAUAGGAACAAAGAAAGAUGCGGUAUGCCC